AUGGGAAGCAUGGAGGGGUCUCAGAAGGACACCAGAGGUGGGCCCGCCAUGGGGUAAAGAUCAGAAGUUUUCUCCCCAGGAGUGGUUUUGAGUCAGACUGUGAUAGUUGCUAUGUUAGUGAUUUAGACAAAGGGCACUGGCAACACCAAACCAUUCAUUGAUUACUGAUUUCAACUGGAAAGUGAACUAAGCCUCAGGGAAGCCCUGCUUGCAACCUAGGCCUUGAAGUAACCUUGGAGUUCCCAUGUGGUGCAACGGAAAUGAAUCUGACUAGGAUCCAUGAGGACAGAGGUUUGAUCCCUGGCCUUGCUCAGAAAGGAAAGGAACACACACCAUCCACCUGAGGCUGCUUCGAUCUGUUCUAGCAAUGAAACCAUGUCCAGCACGUGACUUCCAAUCAACCAGGCCACCAGAUUGAGCAUGGAGCAGGCUGAGGCCAUUUCCCAGGAUCCAUCUGUUUCUGUAGAGGC
rnacentral:lncRNA from 1 species